rnacentral:rRNA from 1 species
GACGUAGGGCGCGAGCGUUGUCCGGAUUUAUUGGGCGUAAAGAGCUCGUAGGCGGCGCGGUAAGUCGGGUGUGAAAUCUCGGAGCUUAACUCCGAAACUGCAUUCGAUACUGCCGUGCUUGAGGACUGGAGAGGAGACUGGAAUUUACGGUGUAGCGGUGAAAUGCGUAGAUAUCGUAAGGAAGACCAGUGGCGAAGGCGGGUCUCUGGACAGUUCCUGACGCUGAGGCACGAAGGUCAGGGGAGCAAACGGG